AGAGUUUGAUCCUGGCUCAGAGCGAACGCUGGCGGCAGGCCUAACACAUGCAAGUCGAGCGCCGUAGCAAUACGGAGCGGCAGACGGGAGAGUAACACGUGGGAACGUGCCCUUCAGUUCGGAACAACCCAGGGAAACUUGGGCUAAUACCGGAUACGUCCGUAAGGAGAAAGAUUUAUCGCUGAAGGAUCGGCCCGCGUCUGAUUAGCUAGUUGGUGAGGUAACGGCUCACCAAGGCGACGAUCAGUAGCUGGUCUGAGAGGAUGAUCAGCCUCACUGGGACUGAGACACGGCCCAGACUCCUACGGGAGGCAGCAGUGGGGAAUAUUGGACAAUGGGCGCAAGCCUGAUCCAGCCAUGCCGCGUGGAUGAUGAAGGCCCUAGGGUUGUAAAGUCCUUUCGGCGGGGAAGAUAAUGACGGUACCCGCAGAAGAAGCCCCGGCUAACUUCGUGCCAGCAGCCGCGGUAAUACGAAGGGGGCUAGCGUUGCUCGGAAUCACUGGGCGUAAAGCGCACGUAGGCGGCUUUUUAAGUCAGGGGUGAAAUCCUGGAGCUCAACUCCAGAACUGCCUUUGAUACUGAGAAGCUUGAGUCCGGGAGAGGUGAGUGGAACUGCGAGUGUAGAGGUGAAAUUCGUAGAUAUUCGCAAGAACACCAGUGGCGAAGGCGGCUCACUGGCCCGGUACUGACGCUGAGGUGCGAAAGCGUGGGGAGCAAACAGGAUUAGAUACCCUAGUAGUCC
rnacentral:rRNA from 1 species